rnacentral:rRNA from 1 species
AAAUAGGAUUGUCCCUUUAUUAAAAGUAAUAAAUGCUAAAGUAGUAAUAGUUAUGUUCUUGAACUUAAAAAUUUGGCGGUAUUUUAGUCUAUCUAGAGGAACCUGUUUUUUAAUCGAUAAUCCACGAUGGACCUUACUUAAAUUUGUAAUCAGUUUAUAUACCGUCGUUAUCAGAAUAUUUUAUAAGAAUAAUAAUAUUCAAUAAUUUUAAUAAAAAUUUAUAUCAGAUCAAGGUGUAGCUUAUAUUUAAGUAAUAAUGGGUUACAAUAAAUUUAUUUAUAUGAAUAAAUUAUGAAAAAAUUUUUGAAAGUGGAUUUAGUAGUAAAAUUAUAAAGAUUAAUAAUUUGAUUUAGCUCUAAAAAUAUGUACACUCGCCGUCGCUCUUAUAUAGGAAGAAAUCGUACUAUA